UACGUAGGGCGCAAGCGUUGUCCGGAAUUAUUGGGCGUAAAGAGCUCGUAGGCGGUUUGUCGCGUCUGCUGUGAAAUCCCGAGGCUCAACCUCGGGCUUGCAGUGGGUACGGGCAGACUAGAGUGCGGUAGGGGAGACUGGAAUUCCUGGUGUAGCGGUGGAAUGCGCAGAUAUCAGGAGGAACACCGAUGGCGAAGGCGGGUCUCUGGGCCAUUACUGACGCUGAGGAGCGAAAGCGUGGGGAGCGAACAGG
rnacentral:rRNA from 1 species